rnacentral:rRNA from 1 species
UACGGGGGGGGCAAGCGUUGUUCGGAAUUACUGGGCGUAAAGGGCGCGUAGGCGGCUCAAUCAGUCGGGCGUGAAAGCUCUGGGCUUAACCCAGAAAGGUCGUUUGAUACUGAAGAUCUUGAGUUCGGGAGAGGUGAGUGGAACUGCGAGUGUAGAGGUGAAAUUCGUAGAUAUUCGCAAGAACACCAGUGGCGAAGGCGGCUCACUGGCCCGAUACUGACGCUGAGGCACGAAAGCGUGGGGAGCAAACAGG